CGAAGGGUGCAAGCGUUAAUCGGAAUUACUGGGCGUAAAGCGCGCGUAGGUGGUUCAGCAAGUUGGAGGUGAAAUCCCCGGGCGUCAACCUGGACGUGCCUCCAAAACUAACUGAGCUAGAGUACGGUAGAGGGUAGUGGAUUCCUGUGUAGCGGUGAAUAGCGUAGAUAUAGGAAGGAACACCAGUGGCGAAGGCGACUACCUGGACUGAUACUGACACUGAGGUGCGAAAGCGUGGGGAGCAAACAGGAUU
rnacentral:rRNA from 1 species